rnacentral:rRNA from 1 species
CCUACGGGUGGCAGCAGUGAGGAAUAUUGGUCAAUGGACGAGAGUCUGAACCCGCCAAGUAGCGUGAAGGAUGACUGCCCUAUGGGUUGUAAACUUCUUUUAUAUGGGAAUAAAAUGUUCCACGUGUGGGAUUUUGUAUGUACCAUAUGAAUAAGGAUCGGCUAACUCCGUGCCAGCAGCCGCGGUAAUACGGAGGAUCCGAGCGUUAUCCGGAGUUAUUGGGUUUAAAGGGAGCGUAGGUGGAUUGUUAAGUCAGUUGUGAAAGUUUGCGGCUCAACCGUAAAAUUGCAGUUGAAACUGGCAGUCUUGAGUACAGUAGAGGUGGGCGGAAUUCGUGGUGUAGCGGUGAAAUGCUUAGAUAUCACGAAGAACUCCGAUUGCGAAGGCAGUUCACUGGACUGCAACUGACACUGAGGCUCGAAAGUGUGGGUAUCAAACAGGAUUAGAUACCCGGGUAGUC